rnacentral:rRNA from 1 species
UUCCGGUUGAUCCUGCCGGACCCCACUGCUAUCGGGAUGGGACUAAGACAUGCUAGUCGAGCGUCUCCAAGCUAUGGAAGAGACGCGGCACACAGCUCAGUAACACGUGGCUAACCUGCCCUUGGGACAAGGACAACUCCGGGAAACUGGGGCUAAUCCCUGAUAGGUGAGAACUCCUGGAAUGGAUUCUCGCUGAAAGGACGUUUAGACCAUGCUUCUAGGCGUCGCCCAAGGAGGGGGCCGCGACCGAUCAGGUUGUUGGUGAGGUAACGGCUCACCAAGCCUUUAACCGGUACGGGCCGUGAGAGCGGAAGCCCGGAGAUGGGCACUGAGACAAGGGCCCAGGCCCUACGGGGCGCAGCAGUCGCGAAAACUCCGCAAUACACGAAAGUGUGACGGGGCUAUCCCGAGUGCCAUCCGCUGAGGAUGGCUUUUCCCCAGUGUAUAAAGCUGGGGGAAUAAGGAGAGGGCAAGCCUGGUGUCAGCCGCCGCGGUAAUACCAGCCCUCCGAGUGGUGGGGAUGUUUAUUGGGCCUAAAGCAUUCGUAGCCUGCUUGGCAAGUCCUCCGUUAAAUCCAACGAUUCAAUCGUUGGGCUGCGGGGGAUACUGUCCGGCUAGGGGGCGGGAGAGGCCGACGGUAUCCCCGGGGUAGGGGUGAAAUCCUAUAAUCCCGGGAGGACCACCAGUGGCGAACGCUGUCGGCUAGAACGUGCUCGACGGUGAGGGAUGAAAGCUGGGGGAGCGAACCGGAUUAGAUACCCGGGUAGUCCCAGCUGUAAACGAUGCAGGCUAGGUGUGGGCGCGGCUACGUGACGCUCAGUGUCGCAGGAAAGCCCGUUAAUCCUGGCCCCUGGGAAGUACGUCACAAGCUGAACCUUAAAGUACUGGCGGGGGAAUACCAGCAGGUGUGAUGUUAGCGGUU